CCUACGGGAGGCAGCAGUAGGGAAUAUUGCUCAAUGGGGGAAACCCUGAAGCAGCAACGCCGCGUGGAGGAUGAAGGUUUUCGGAUUGUAAACUCCUUUUGAUAGAGAAGAGAAGGACGGUAGCUAAAGAAUAAGCACCGGCUAACGCCGUGCCAGCAGCCGCGGUAAUACGGAGGGGGCAAGCGUUACUCGGAAGCACUGGGCGUAAAGAGCGCGUAGGCGGGAUCGCAAGUCAGAUGUUAAAUCCUAUGGCUUAACCCUAGAACUGCAUUUGAAACUUUUAUUCUAGCGUAUGGGAGAGGUAGGUGGACUUCUUGGUGUAGUCGUCACAUCCGU
rnacentral:rRNA from 1 species